rnacentral:rRNA from 1 species
UACAGAGGGGGCGAGCGUUGUUCGGAAUUACUGGGCGUAAAGGGCGCGUAGGCGGCUUUAUAAGUCGGGGGUGAAAGCCUGUGGCUCAACCACAGAAUUGCCUUCGAUACUGUAGAGCUUGAGACCGGAAGAGGUAAGUGGAACUGCGAGUGUAGAGGUGAAAUUCGUAGAUAUUCGCAAGAACACCAGUGGCGAAGGCGGCUUACUGGUCCGGUUCUGACGCUGGGAUACGAAAGCGUGGGGAGCAAACAGG